rnacentral:rRNA from 1 species
UUAGAUUUUAUUUAUUAAUUUUGUUUAUUUGUAUUUAAAUUAUUAAAAAUAAUUAUAUAAUAAAAAGUUUUAGUAUUGUUUAAAGAAAAAAUAAAUUUAAUAAUAGUUUAAUAGUAUUGUAAAAGAAAAUUGAAAUAUUUUGAAAAAUUUUUAAUUUAAAAGAAAAUUUAAUUUAUUGUACCUUGUGUAUCAGCGUUUAUUAAAUAAAAAAUAAUUAAUUUAUUUUUCUCGAUUUUAAAAGAGUUAAUAUAAUAUAAAAGUUAAUGUGAUAAAAUUAUUUUAAAUAUUAUAUUAGAAAUGAAAUGUUAUUCGUUUUUAAAGGUAUCUAGUUUUUCAAGAAAUGAAUUUAAUUCAGAAAUUGUAAAUAUAUUUAAAAAAUUUUUUAAUUAAAUAAUUUACAAUUUUAAUAUUUUAUGGGAUAAGCUAUAAAAUAAAUUUUUAAAAAUAAUAAAUAAAUUUAAUAAAUAUAUGCUUAGAAUUAGCAAUUAUUUAUAAAUAUGUUAUAAUUUAUUUUAUAAAUAAAAUUAUUUAUUAUAUUUUAAAUAUUUAUUGAAAUAUUAAUUUUAAUUUUUAAAAUUAAGAAAUAAUGAUAGAAUUAGUAUAUUUUAUUGUAAAAUACAUUUAAAUG